rnacentral:rRNA from 1 species
GACGAACGCUGGCGGCGUGCUUAACACAUGCAAGUCGAACGAAAAGACGGAAAGAGCUUGCUCUUUUCAGAAUUGAGUGGCAAACGGGUGAGUAACACGUAAACAACCUGCCUUCAGGAUGGGGACAACAGACGGAAACGCCUGCUAAUACCGAAUAAGUUCCAAGGGCCGCAUGGCCCAUGGAAGAAAAGGUGGCCUCUACCUGUGAGCUAUCGCCUGAAGAGGGGUUUGCGUCUGAUUAGCUGGUUGGAGGGGUAACGGCCCACCAAGGCGACGAUCAGUAGCCGGUCUGAGAGGAUGAACGGCCACACUGGAACUGAGACACGGUCCAGACUCCUACGGGAGGCAGCAGUGGGGAAUCUUCCGCAAUGGGCGAAAGCCUGACGGAGCAACGCCGCGUGAGUGAUGACGGCCUUCGGGUUGUAAAACUCUGUGAUCCGGGACGAAAAGGCAGAGUGCGAAGAACAAACUGCAUUGACGGUACCGGAAAAGCAAGCCACGGCUAACUACGUGCCAGCAGCCGCGGUAAUACGUAGGUGGCAAGCGUUGUCCGGAAUUAUUGGGCGUAAAGCGCGCGCAGGCGGCUUCCCAAGUCCCUCUUAAAAGUGCGGGGCUUAACCCCGUGAUGGGAAGGAAACUGGGAAGCUGGAGUAUCGGAGAGGAAAGUGGAAUUCCUAGUGUAGCGGUGAAAUGCGUAGAGAUUAGGAAGAACACCGGUGGCGAAGGCGACUUUCUGGACGAAAACUGACGCUGAGGCGCGAAAGCGUGGGGAGCAAACAGGAUUAGAUACCCUGGUAGUCCACGCCGUAAACGA